rnacentral:lncRNA from 1 species
AGUACAUUCUCCGGCUGCUGCGGGUCUCUCAGGGCCAGCGAAGGUCAGGGGUACCCGAAGGCGCUUCUAACCUAACGGCUGGGUACCCGCGCGCAGCCAGGCCCUUUGUUCCUCAGAGGGUGCGAGGUGGCACAGCCCCGCAGCGCCCGAUCUGCCCACGCAGGGCGGAUGAACGGAAACCCACCCUGGCCUAGCUUGGGGACACCAAUGCUUCUGCUGUUGCCCACGCCGGGAGCGGCCCCCAGCCCCAGCUACGCUGCCCAGUUGUGGAUCACUUGAGACCGCUGCCACCACCACGCCGGGCUGAGUUCCCCGCCAUGCCGAAGACUCAGACCCGCUCCCCUUCCCCUCCUCUGCAUGCCUUUAGCUUCCCACCAAGCUGGGCCUGAGAAACAAGGGACCCGAACCUGGAGAGGCCGGUGUUCCUGGACUGCUCUGCAGUCACAGAUUGUCACGGAGCCCCUGGUUGUCUGAGGACCCCAGGCCUGAACCUUCCUUGAGGAAGACUGAUUUCUUUCAGACUACUUUGCUCAGUUUGAUUUUAAACAGAAGGCUAAUAAUUAUCCAGAAGAGACAGGAUGAGGCUUGGACAAAGGAGGUGGAGGGUAUCAAAAGAUAUUUAGAAGAUAAAGGAAGUCUGGACUUGGUGCUGUGGGUAUACCCUCCCUCAUGGCACACACCAGGUUAUUUUGAAGCAAAUCCUAGACGUCAUCAAACAGUUCAAAUUGCCCAAGUGUCUCCUACACACUUCUUUUUUCUUUUACAGUUUGUUUGAAUCUGGGUCCAAAUAAAGUCCACACAUUGCA